GGGGGCGGUGCCGGCCUCCGGGGACUGGAGGGGGAUGGGGUCCCGCAUGGCUAAAUAACUCCUUGGCGCCUCCUGCUCUGCUGUGCCGCCAGGGCCUCCCCUAGCGCGCCUUCUGGAGAGGCUUUGUGCGGAUACGGGGCUGGAGGCCUGGUGGGGCUGUGUCCGGGGGCUCGCCGGGGGUGUGGGGAGGUCUGCGUUCCUCACCCUCCCUCCUUCCUUCCCUCCCUCCCUCCACCCCGCGUGUGAUUGCUCAGGAAGAGACGGGAGGGGAGAGGAGGGUCGCCAGAAGUUGCUGAAAGCGCUUGGAUCCUGAUCAUUUUCACUGAGUGCGUUCUAGAACCAGGAGUCCUACUUCCUGCCUUUACAGAUGGGAAACUGGGCUCAGAGAGGUGGAGUGACCAUCCCCCGAGAGUUAGCUAGGAGUCACAGCAGGGCCCGGGCUGUGACUAGGCCUGAGCUCUUGUCCACCCUUAGAACCCUAGAACCUGGGAGUCCAGGCCCCUGCGCAGCCCCUUCCUUCCGCCGCCCACGUUUUAACCCCAGGUCUGCCAGGGCUGUGAUGUCCUGGGCGAGGGUGCCCAACUCCAGGGGCUGGGCUGAUGAGGCAGGAAUGCCGGGUAUAAUUAUUACAUGCUUGUUACCACUAUCAUGGCUGUUAGGGCUUAAUGAGCCACUAUUAAGACUGGCUGGGAAGGGGGUGUGAGGGAGGAGAGAUGGACCCACCCCACCAAUACUCACAAGGGAUCCUUAGGACAUCUGGAUCUGACCUACAGCCUCUGCAUGCACCCCUCCAGCUCCCCACCUCUGUCUGAAUGGAGCCCACACCCUCCUUUCCCUGACCUCCUUCCCCUCACUCUCUCUGAUCCUUGGCCUCCCAGUUGCAGGACUAAUCGUACCUCUGGGCCUUUGCACGUGCUAUGCUCUCUGCUUGGUACUCCCUUCCCCCAGUGCAAAGAUGUGUCUUCAGGAAGUGCCCCACCCUCAGACUUUACUCCUUUAUUGUAGCCUCUGAAUCUGCCAGAAUGAUGGAGUGGACCAUAGUCCCUGAAGGUCAGGGACAUUGCCUAUGCUGAGCCUGCUGACAGGGCCUCGCAUAGAAUGGAUGCUCAGUAUUAAAGGUGAAUGCGGGGCUGGGUGUGGUGGCUCAUGCCUGUAAUCCCAGCACUUUGGGAGGCCGAGGCAGGCAGAUCACUUGAGGUCAGCAGUUCAAGACCAGACUGGCCGAAAUACAAAAAUACAAAAAAAAAAAAAAAUACGAAAAUUAACCGGGUGUGGUGGUGUGCACCUGUAAUCCCAGCUACUCAGGAGGCUGAGACAUGAGAAUCGCUUGAACCCGGGAGGCAGAGGUUGCAGUGAGCUGAGAUUGUGCCACUGCACUCCAGCCUGGGAGACAGAGUGAGACUCCAGUCUCAAAAAAAAAUAAAAAAUAAAGGUGAAUGCAACAAAAGGUUGCUUGUGUGGGUGGUCUCUAGCCUCAGUUUGUCUGCCUGGCCAGUGGGCAUGCGUUACUCCUUUUCUAUCCUCCUUACUCACCUGGCUCUGCCCCCAACUGGGGCAUGAAGGCCAUAAGGGAGGCUGUCCUCAUCACCAAGAGAGGUGGCCUGUCGGCCACACGCGGUGACUCCUGCCUGUAAUCCCAGCACUUUGGAAGUCUGAGGCAGGCAUUUGAGGUCAGGAGUUUGAGACCAGCCUGACCAUCAUGGUGAAACCCCAUCUCUAUUGAAAAUAAAAAUUAGGCUGGGCGCAGAGGCUCACGCCUGUCAUCCCAGCACUUUAGGAGGCCAAGGCAGGCUGAUCACGAGGUCAGGAGAUCAAGACCAUCCUGGUUAACACGGUGAAACCCUGUCUCUACUGAAAAAUAAAAAAAAAAAUU
rnacentral:lncRNA from 10 species